rnacentral:rRNA from 1 species
AGAGUUUGAUCCUGGCUCAGAUUGAACGCUGGCGGCAGGCCUAACACAUGCAAGUCGAGCGGAAACGAAGAGGUGCUUGCACCUCUGGCGUCGAGCGGCGGACGGGUGAGUAAUGCUUGGGAAUAUGCCUUAUGGUGGGGGACGACAGUUGGAAACGACUGCUAAUACCGCAUGAUGUCUACGGACCAAAGUGGGGGACCUUCGGGCCUCACGCCAUAAGAUUAGCCCAAGUGGGAUUAGCUAGUUGGUGAGGUAAUGGCUCACCAAGGCGACGAUCCCUAGCUGGUUUGAGAGGAUGAUCAGCCACACUGGGACUGAGACACGGCCCAGACUCCUACGGGAGGCAGCAGUGGGGAAUAUUGCACAAUGGGCGCAAGCCUGAUGCAGCCACGCCGCGUGUGUGAAGAAGGCCUUCGGGUUGUAAAGCACUUUCAGUAAGGAGGAAAGGUUAAGUGUUAAUAGCACUUAGCUGUGACGUUACUUACAGAAGAAGCACCGGCUAACUCCGUGCCAGCAGCCGCGGUAAUACGGAGGGUGCGAGCGUUAAUCGGAAUUACUGGGCGUAAAGCGUACGCAGGCGGUUUGUUAAGCGAGAUGUGAAAGCCCCGGGCUCAACCUGGGAACUGCAUUUCGAACUGGCAAACUAGAGUGUGAUAGAGGGUGGUAGAAUUUCAGGUGUAGCGGUGAAAUGCGUAGAGAUCUGAAGGAAUACCGAUGGCGAAGGCAGCCACCUGGGUCAACACUGACGCUCAUGUACGAAAGCGUGGGGAGCAAACAGGAUUAG